rnacentral:tRNA from 1 species
CGGGGCGUAGCGCAGGCUGGUUUAGCGCGCAUGGUUUGGGACCAUGAGGUCGGAGGUUCGAAUCCUCUCGCCCCGACAA